rnacentral:rRNA from 1 species
CACGGGGGGAGCAAGCGUUGUUCGGAUUCAUUGGGCGUAAAGGGUGCGUAGGUGGCGGGGUAAGUCAGGUGUGAAAUCUCGAGGCUCAACCUCGAAACUGCACUUGAUACUGCCUUGCUCGAGUACUGGAGAGGAGAUUGGAAUUUACGGUGUAGCAGUGAAAUGCGUAGAUAUCGUAAGGAAGACCAGUGGCGAAGGCGAAUCUCUGAACAGUUACUGACACUGAGGCACGAAGGCCAGGGGAGCAAACGGG